rnacentral:rRNA from 1 species
CACGGAGUUAGCCGGUGCUUCUUCUGUUGGUAACGUCAUAAUCUUCCCAACUGAAAGUGCUUUACAACCCGCAGGCCUUCUUCACACACGCGGCAUUGCUGGAUCAGGCUUUCGCCCAUUGUCCAAUAUUCCC